UACGGGGGGGGCAAGCGUUGUUCGGAAUUACUGGGCGUAAAGGGCGCGUAGGCGGCGCGGUAAGUCACUUGUGAAAUCUCUGAGCUUAACUCAGAACGGCCAAGUGAUACUGCAGUGCUAGAGUGUGGAAGGGGCAAUCGGAAUUCUUGGUGUAGCGGUGAAAUGCGUAGAUAUCAAGAGGAACACCUGAGGUGAAGACGGGUUGCUGGGCCAACACUGACGCUGAGGCGCGAAAGCCAGGGGAGCAAACGGG
rnacentral:rRNA from 1 species